rnacentral:lncRNA from 1 species
UGGAUGUUAAGGACUGUGUUCAUCAGAUUGUCGAAGAAGUUCUUCUCAAUAUGCAUGACAUCUAAAUUAUGCCGCAAUAGAUGACUCUCCCAAUAUGGCAGAUCCCAGAAAAUACUCUUUUUGUGCCAGUUAUGUAGCUCUCCAACCGCACUGACUCGAAUGUUUUCAUGUCCACCUACAUCUGGCGUCCUUUCUGCAUCAAAAUACCUAAACUGCUUCAACAAAUCUUUCCCACA